AGUGAACGCUGGCGGUAGGCCUAACACAUGCAAGUCGAACGGCAGCGCAGUAAGAGCUUGCUCUUACGGGUGGCGAGUGGCGGACGGGUGAGGAAUACAUCGGAAUCUACUUUUUCGUGGGGGAUAACGUGGGGAAACUUACGCUAAUACCGCAUACGACCUACGGGUGAAAGCAGGGGAUCUUCGGACCUUGCGCGAUUGAAUGAGCCGAUGUCGGAUUAGCUAGUUGGCGGGGUAAAGGCCCACCAAGGCGACGAUCCGUAGCUGGUCUGAGAGGAUGAUCAGCCACACUGGAACUGAGACACGGUCCAGACUCCUACGGGAGGCAGCAGUGGGGAAUAUUGGACAAUGGGCGCAAGCCUGAUCCAGCCAUACCGCGUGGGUGAAGAAGGCCUUCGGGUUGUAAAGCCCUUUUGUUGGGAAAGAAAAGCAGCAGGUUAAUACCCCGCUGUUCUGACGGUACCCAAAGAAUAAGCACCGGCUAACUUCGUG
rnacentral:rRNA from 1 species